rnacentral:rRNA from 1 species
GACGAACGCUGGCGGCGUGCUUAACACAUGCAAGUCGAACGGUGAAAGAAGAGCUUGCUCUUCUGGAUCAGUGGCGAACGGGUGAGUAACACGUGAGUAACCUGCCCCAGACUCUGGAAUAAGCGCUGGAAACGGCGUCUAAUACCGGAUACGAGACAGAGCUGCAUGGCUACUGUCUGGAAAGUUUUUCGGUCUGGGAUGGACUCGCGGCCUAUCAGCUUGUUGGUGGGGUAACGGCUCACCAAGGCAACGACUGGUAGCCGGCCCGAGAGGGCGACCGGGCACAAGGGGACUGAGGGAGGGCCCAGUCCGCAACGGGAGGCAGAGGGGGGGAAAUUUGGCCAAUGGGCCAAAGUCUGAAGCGACGGACCCCGGGUUGGGAAGACCGUCUUUCGGGUGUAAACCGCUUUCAGCAAGGAAGGAGCGGAAGUGACGGUACCCGCAGAAUAAGCACCGGCUAACUUCGUG